rnacentral:snRNA from 1 species
AAACCGUACAUUCAACAGUUUCU